UGACACUGACCCAUUAUCUCUGACAGCCCGACUGAACUGAACACAACCCUCGUCAAUCAGCUUUUGAAUACCAGCCCUCAACUGGUCACAACCAUUAUCAGCUUCGGCACAACCAAAACAGCCCUCAUCACAACCCGGGUAGACACCCCCAUUCAGCAGACGGCCCUUUACCACCAGCAGAUGAGUCUGAACAUCAUCAAUACUAG
rnacentral:lncRNA from 1 species